UACGUAGGGUGCGAGCGUUGUCCGGAUUUAUUGGGCGUAAAGAGCUCGUAGGCGGUGUGUCGCGUCGGCCGUGAAAACCUGCAGCUUAACUGUGGGCUUGCGGUCGAUACGGGCAUCACUGGAGUUCGGCAGGGGAGACUGGAAUUCCUGGUGUAGCGGUGAAAUGCGCAGAUAUCAGGAGGAACACCGGUGGCGAAGGCGGGUCUCUGGGCCGGUACUGACGCUGAGACGCGAAAGCGUGGGGAGCGAACAGG
rnacentral:rRNA from 1 species